GGGCACAUUCAGACUUUCAAAUUUUUUUUUAACAUCUCCAAGCAUAUGGGAUCAAGUAGCAACACAACCUUUUGGUGAUGCCUUCUGGUUAUCUCUUUGUUGUCAUCAUCCAUAGCUUCUGCGUCCUUCUUCGCCUCCUUGGAUGGUGGUGCACUAUUUUUUUAGAAGGUUGAUUGAAUUCCUGCAAAGUUAUUGGAAGUUGCUUGUUCCCCAAGCACUUGAGGAAUAGUUAGCUUGCAUGUAUGCUUG
rnacentral:lncRNA from 1 species